UUGGCUUCUUCGAAGAUUGCUAUACCGCCCCAAAUGGUAUAGUGAUUCAAAGCGAAGCCUAGAGAAACAUUCACCGUCAAUUUAGCUCUGUUCUUAAAUGUGUCACCAAGGAAAUCCGACACGCUAGGGGAACAGAUAUGGCAAGUUGUUUGCUAUUCACAAUUGGCCUGAGACAUGU
rnacentral:snoRNA from 1 species